rfam:Danio rerio chromosome 11, GRCz11 reference primary assembly.
CUUGUCCUCAUUUGUAAGUCGCUUUGGAUAAAAGCGUCUGCUAAGUGACAAUGU